GGGGGGGGCAUACUAUGAAAUUAGUAAUUAGCAUAGGUGGACUUGAAAGUACUUGUGAUGGGAAUUCCUUAUUUCAUUUUUAAAACGUUUUUACCGCGCCCCCAGUACAAGCGAGACUGGAUGCAGAGGUGCUAGACGCUUAGAAUACAGACCUGGAGAAUAGGAUCUCUGCCCAACUGGAAGGCGGAGUAAGAGGAAAGAUUAAGAAAUUACUGAAAGCGUGGUACUUACCCGGUACCAGGACCAAGGAAGGCGUUCCCUGGGCGAGCUGAGUUAAGAAAUUUAAAGAAUCCGACCUGCCAGAAGUGAGGGAGAAAACAGUUCCCCAAUCCCAUGGAAUAGUGCAGGGUCUAGGGACCCGGGAAGAGAAGUGGCCAGAGGUGCUGGGGUCAAGGCUGAGGAGGGGCCAGCUCACGGGACCGGACAAGCCACGUGCAGGAACCAAUUGGAGAAAGAUCGGCUGGUACUAGGGGGAAGGGAGCAGCCAGGGCAGCUGGCGUGCAGGAAGCCGUCUACAUUUGCUUGCUGACCUAAAUAAUACCCAGGAGAAGAGUCCAAGCCCAGAAGCCCUUCAAUGUCUUAGGGCUGCACAGCUGACUGGCAGCUUCAGGCCCGUGCCGCAUCCUGUUUUGAAGAAGAGAGGCUGGAAGAAAUGUGAAAUGGAAGCAGGCUCAUCUGGGGAAUCAAAUCUAAUUUCUCAAAUCCGGGAAAACCAGGAUCGAAAUCAAUUUCAUCAACAUCCGUGGUUAGUUUGCAGCCGCUAGUGGCUCCUGACCGGUGUUUGCAUUCAUGACACAGCCACAAUCUGCAGAAUUGGUCUCUAAUCAAUAGCUCACAGUCGUUCUAGAAGACCGUCUCCCGCUCAAGCUUACAAGUAAAGGCUGUGUACUGCUGAGUGUGCUUUCCCUGUCAGUGGACAUCACAGAUAAAGGCUUUCUCUCUUUGUU
rnacentral:lncRNA from 1 species